CCUACGGGUGGCAGCAGUGGGGAAUAUUGCACAAUGGGGGAAACCCUGAUGCAGCAACGCCGCGUGAGUGAAGAAGUAUUUCGGUAUGUAAAGCUCUAUCAGCAGGGAAGAAGAUGACGGUACCUGAGUAAGAAGACCCGGCUAACGACGUGCAAGGAGCCGCGGUAAUACGUAGGGGGCAAGCGUUAGCCGGAUUGACUGGGGGUAAAGGGAGCGCAGACGGCAGUGCACGUCUGGAGUGAAAGCCCGGGGCCCCACCCCGGAACUGCUCUGGAAACUGUGCGGCUAGAGUACUGGAGGGGCAGGCGGAAUUCCUCGUGUAGCGGUGAAAUGCGUAGAUAUUAGGCGGAACACCAGUGGCGACGGCGGCCUGCUGGACAGUACCUGACGUUGAGGCUCGAAAGCGUGGGGAGCAAACAGGAUUAGAUACCCCGGUAGUC
rnacentral:rRNA from 1 species